rnacentral:rRNA from 1 species
UACGGGGGGGGCAAGCGUUGUUCGGAAUUACUGGGCGUAAAGGGCUCGUAGGUGGCCAACUAAGUCAUACGUGAAAUCCCUCAGCUUAACUGGGGAACUGAGCCUGAUACUGGUUGGCUUGAGUUUGGGAGAGGGACGCGGAAUUCCAGGUGUAGCGGUGAAAUGCGCAGAUAUCAGGAAGAACACCAAUGGCGAAAGCAGCUUUCUGGGACGGUACUGACGCUGAGACGCGAAAGCGUGGGGAGCGAACAGG